rnacentral:tRNA from 1 species
ACUUAAAUAGCCUAAGGUUUAGGGCGUUACAUUGAAGCUGUAGAGGUGACAGUAAAGUCUUUAGGUA